GAUGAACGCUGGCGGCGUGCCUAAUACAUGCAAGUCGAGCGAACAGAUGAGGAGCUUGCUCCUCUGACGUUAGCGGCGGACGGGUGAGUAACACGUGGAUAACCUACCUAUAAGACUGGGAUAACUUCGGGAAACCGGAGCUAAUACCGGAUAAUAUAUUGAACCGCAUGGUUCAAUAGUGAAAGACGGUUUUGCUGUCACUUAUAGAUGGAUCCGCGCCGCAUUAGCUAGUUGGUAAGAUAACGGCUUACCAAGGCAACGAUGCGUAGCCGACCUGAGAGGGUGAUCGGCCACACUGGAACUGAGACACGGUCCAGACUCCUACGGGAGGCAGCAGUAGGGAAUCUUCCGCAAUGGGCGAAAGCCUGACGGAGCAACGCCGCGUGAGUGAUGAAGGUCUUCGGAUCGUAAAACUCUGUUAUUAGGGAAGAACAAAUGUGUAAGUAACUAUGCACGUCUUGACGGUACCUAAUCAGAAAGCCACGGCUAACUACGUG
rnacentral:rRNA from 1 species